rnacentral:rRNA from 1 species
AGAGUUUGAUCAUGGCUCAGGAUGAACGCUGGCGGCGUGCCUAAUACAUGCAAGUCGAGCGAACAGAUAAGGAGCUUGCUCCUUUGACGUUAGCGGCGGACGGGUGAGUAACACGUGGGUAACCUACCUAUAAGACUGGAAUAACUUCGGGAAACCGAAGCUAAUGCCGGAUAACAUGUAGAACCGCAUGGUUCUACAGUGAAAGAUGGCCUUGCUAUCACUUAUAGAUGGACCCGCGCCGUAUUAGCUAGUUGGUAAGGUAACGGCUUUCCAAGGCAACGAUACGUAGCCGACCUGAGAGGGUGAUCGGCCCCUCUGGAUCCUGAGACACGGUCCAGACUCUUACGGGAGGCUGCAAGGGCGUCUUUUGCCAGAUAUCCAUCUCUCUGCCGGCCUCUCGAUCCUCCUUCUCGUCGUGUGUUCCAAUGUACAACAAGUAUAGUGGCCAUUGAUUACCGGAUUCA